rnacentral:tRNA from 1 species
AUUUAUAUAGUUUAAUAAAAACCUUACAUUUUCAAUGUAAAAAUAAAGAUUUCUUUUAUAAAUA